UCCCUGGCGGUCCAGUGGCUAAGACUCUGCACUUCCAAUGCAGGGGCAUGGGUUCAAGCCCUGUUUGGGGAA
rnacentral:tRNA from 1 species